AGUCUGUGAUGCUUUGUAUAAGAGUAGUGGACAGAUGUGAUUUCUGACAAUUUUUUACACUGAGACU